CCCUUUGUGGUGUAGUUGGUAUCACACCCGGCUGUAAUAGUUUGCUUACCGGUUGGUCACCAGUUCGACUCUGGUCGAAGGGA